rnacentral:piRNA from 1 species
UUCAGGGAAUUGAUGCUGACU